GAUGAACGCUGGCGGCGUGCCUAAUACAUGCAAGUCGAGCGAACAGACGAGGAGCUUGCUCCUCUGACGUUAGCGGCGGACGGGUGAGUAACACGUGGAUAACCUACCUAUAAGACUGGGAUAACUUCGGGAAACCGGAUCUAAUACCGGAUAAUAUAUUGAACCGCAUGGUUCAAUAGUGAAAGACGGUUUUGCUGUCACUUAUAGAUGGAUCCGCGCCGCAUUAGCUAGUUGGUAAGGUAACGGCUUACCAAGGCAACGAUGCGUAGCCGACCUGAGAGGGUGAUCGGCCACACUGGAACUGAGACACGGUCCAGACUCCUACGGGAGGCAGCAGUAGGGAAUAUUGCGCAAUGGGCGAAAGCCUGACGGAGCAACGCCGCGUGAGUGAUGAAGGUCUUCGGAUCGUAAAACUCUGUUAUUAGGGAAGAACAAAUGUGUAAGUAACUAUGUACGUCUUGACGGUACCUAAUCAGAAAGCCACGGCUAACUACGUG
rnacentral:rRNA from 1 species